GUUACUGUACUUACCACGUUUUCGGUCUUUCUGUGGUCUACCUACUCUCUUUCCACAGACGAAUCACUGAGGAGCAACACUAAGAGACUCAUGUGCUGCAGAGGGCGCGACAAAGCCAUACUCAGCUAGGUGCCGUGCAAAGGUUAAUGAGAUGGGAAACGUUAUAAGCGACGUAAGAAAGAGAGGAACGCUUGAUACUUCUGAUUACACGUUUGCCUCGCCUAA